UACGUAGGGCGCAAGCGUGUCCGGAAUUAUUGGGCGUAAAGAGCUCGUAGGCGGUUUGUCGCGUCUGCUGUGAAAUCCCGAGGCUCAACCUCGGGCUUGCAGUGGGUACGGGCAGACUAGAGUGCGGUAGGGGAGACUGGAAUUCCUGGUGUAGCGGUGGAAUGCGCAGAUAUCAGGAGGAACACCGAUGGCGAAGGCAGGUCUCUGGGCCGCAA
rnacentral:rRNA from 1 species